rnacentral:lncRNA from 10 species
ACACAAUGAUUUUCAGACAACUGCCCAUUCGCCAAUUCCAACCACCUCGGCCCACUGCCCAAAUCCAACGUUUCUGGUCUCCGGGCGGCGCUGCCUUAGCAGGAUCCGCCGCCAGGUGGCGCGCUCCCCCCGCCCGGAGUGGGUUUUGUUCCAUCCCGGACUUAGAUCUUCCAAGACGGCGAUUUCCUUCUGGUCGGGUCUCUUCCCGAGGAUCCGCUUUACUCGUACUAGAAACUCUGACCUCGAAUGCAGUUCCAGAAGCAGAACCCUGUAGGGGGUUUCAGGCGGCCAAGAAGGGAAGUGGUUCUCCUAAGACCGUCCCGGCUUCAGUCCACGGCGCUCACUAAAUGCCUCCCACGCCAGACGAGGUCCCCCGUCCCCGGAGCUCGCGUCCCAGAGAGAUGAAAACUCACUAUGCUGCCCAGACUCGUCUCGAACUCCUGGGUGUCACGCGUGUCCGUAUAGAAGACCACCUAAACAGGCUUUGUGUUCACGUGUUGAAAUCCUAACUCCAAAUAUGAUGAUAGGAGGAGAUGGGGCCUUCGGGAGGUGAUGAGGUCAUGAGGGUGGAAUCCUCAUGAAUGGUCUCAACGCCCUUAGAAAAGAGACCCCAGAGACCUCGCUCCCGCUUUCUACUGUGGGAGAAUGCAGCAAGAAGUCAGCCGUCUAUGAACAAGGAAGCAGGUCCUCUCCAGGCACUGAAUGUACCAGUGCCUUGAUCUUGGACUUCCCAGCCUCCAGAACUAUGACAAUAAAUUCUGUUGUUUAAGCUACAUGGUCUAUGAUACUUUUGUUAAAGAAGCCCAAAGUGACUAAGACAGGCAUCAAACAAUAUAUUGUCCUUUGUGAUGGAUCCUUUCACUUUGCAUAAUGUUUUCAAGGUCUAUCCAUUUUAUACCACAUAACAGCACCUCCUUUGCUUUCAUGGCUGAAUAAUAUUCCAC